AAUUAACGCUGGCAGAGUGCAUAACACAUGCAAGUCGAGCGAGACCCGCAAGGGUCUAGCGGCAGACGAGUGAGUAACACGUAAAGAAUCUACCCUUGAAUGGCGAAUAACCAAUCGAAAGGCUGGCUAAUACGCCGUACUCUCCCUUGAAGGCAUCUUCGAGGGAGGAGAGAUCCGCAAGGAUCGUUCUUGGAGGACUUUGCGGCCCAUCAGCUAGUGGCGGUGUAAUAGACCACCAAGGCUACGACGGGUACCCGGCCUGAAAGGGCGGACGGGCACGAUGGCACUGAGACACGGGCCAUACUCCUACGGGAGGCAGCAGUGGGGAAUUUUGGACAAUGGGCGAAAGCCUGAUCCAGCAACUCUGCGUGAGGGACGAAGGUCUUCGGAUCGUAAACCUCUUUUACAUGGGAAGAAUGGCAGCAAUGCCUCGACGGUACCAUGUGAAU
rnacentral:rRNA from 1 species